rnacentral:tmRNA from 1 species
GGGGGCGUCCGGUUUCGACGGGGAGAUGGAAAGCGUCGGGUGCGAGCCGAGUCGCGUGAUCUCGACAAAACGCGCAAACCGAUAACUGCCGAGACGAAUACUCUCGCACUCGCUGCCUAAGGGCAGCGCGUUCGCCCAGCUCGGCCGGCGGGGCUGAUGCGGGCGUCACAAACAGCCGGCGUACCCGACCUCUGAGGUUCGUAGGAGCGAGGGGAAGCAGCACGAACUGGCGACCGGUAACGUUGUCGGCGACCGACCCGGCCGCGAGACAUAGACGCCGACUACGCUCGUAGUACCCGACGAGGUCCGCUCUUCGGACGUGGGUUCGAUUCCCACCGCCUCCACCA